GAUGAACGCUAGCUACAGGCUUAACACAUGCAAGUCGCGGGGUCUGUUUCUGCAGACGACCGGCGCACGGGUGAGUAACGCGUAUCCAACCUGGCCCCUCUCUUUGGGCAUAGCCUUUCGAAAGAGAGAUUAAAUUCCGAAUAACGUAGUAACGUUGCCUGAUGAUACUACGAAAGCUCUGGCGGAGAGGGGAUGGGGGAUGCGUUCCAUUAGGUAGUAGGCGGGGUAACGGCCCACCUAGCCAACGAUGGAUAGGGGUUCUGAGAGGAAGGUCCCCCACAUUGGAACUGAGACACGGUCCAAACUCCUACGGGAGGCAGCAGUGAGGGAAUAUUGGUCAAUGGACGGAAGUCUGAACCAGGCCAAGUAGCGUGAAGGAUGACUGCCCUAUGGGUUGUAAACUUCUUUUGUCGUGGAACAAAACCUGCCACGUGUGGCAUUUUGCGUGUACACGUUGAAUAAGCAUCGGCUAACUCCGUG
rnacentral:rRNA from 1 species